AUUUAUUGGGAUUGGGUUUUUCGGGGUCGGACCGGAGCGUGGCGCUCGCGUCACGUUCUCCGGGCACGUACUCUCGCAGCGGAAGGGGCAACACUGUAUUUACCUGGAAAACCCCGACGUACCGGCUCGUCUCCCGAUAUUUAUGCAGUAUACGCCAACGGACGGAUUGUUCGCAACUUUUGAGCGAAUUACCAACGAGUUCAGCGCGCGUAUCCCGUUUUGAAAAUAAUAAAAAGGUCGUGAG